rnacentral:rRNA from 1 species
AUGAACGCUGGCGGCGUGCCUAAUACAUGCAAGUCGAACGCAUAGCGAAAGGUGCUUGCACCUUUCAAGUGAGUGGCGAACGGGUGAGUAACACGUGGACAACCUGCCUCAAGGCUGGGGAUAACAUUUGGAAACAGAUGCUAAUACCGAAUAAAACUUAGUGUCGCAUGACACAAAGUUAAAAGGCGCUUCGGCGUCACCUAGAGAUGGAUCCGCGGUGCAUUAGUUAGUUGGUGGGGUAAAGGCCUACCAGGACAAUGAUGCAUAGCCGAGUUGAGAGACUGAUCGGCAACAUUGGGACUGAGACACGGCCCAAACUCCUACGGGAGGCUGCAGUAGGGAAUCUUCCACAAUGGGCGAAAGCCUGAUGGAGCAACGCCGCGUGUGUGAUGAAGGCUUUCGGGUCGUAAAGCACUGUUGUAUGGGAAGAACAGCUAGAAUAGGAAAUGAUUUUAGUUUGACGGUACCAUACCAGAAAGGGACGGCUAAAUACAUG